GCAUUCAGUUGCCAUCGGGUAAUGCCGGGCACUCUGGAAGGACUGCCAUCGACAAGAUGGAGGAAGUGGGGAUGACGUCAAGUCAUCACUGGCCCUUAUGUCCAGGGCGACACACGUGCUACAAUGGCCGGCACAACGGGAAGCGAGUUCGCGAGGACGAGCGGAUCCCUUAAAGCCGGUCGCAGUUCGGAUUGAAGUCUGCAACUCGACUUCAUGAAGCUGGAAUCGCUAGUAAUCGUGGAUCAGCCAAGCCGCGGUGAAUACGUUCCCGGGCCUU
rnacentral:rRNA from 1 species